rnacentral:rRNA from 1 species
GACGAACGCUGGCGGCGUGCUUAACACAUGCAAGUCGAACGGAAAGGCCCUGCUUUUGUUGGGUGCUCGAGUGGCGAACGGGUGAGUAACACGUGAGUAACCUGCCCUUGACUUUGGGAUAACUUCAGGAAACUGGGGCUAAUACCGGAUAGGAGCUCCUGCUGCAUGGUGGGGGUUGGAAAGUUUCGGCGGUUGGGGAUGGACUCGCGGCUUAUCAGCUUGUUGGUGGGGUAGUGGCUUACCAAGGCUUUGACGGGUAGCCGGCCUGAGAGGGUGACCGGCCACAUUGGGACUGAGAUACGGCCCAGACUCCUACGGGAGGCAGCAGUGGGGAAUAGUGCACAAUGGGCGGAAGCCUGAUGCAGCAACGCCGCGUGCGGGAUGACGGCCUUCGGGUUGUAAACCGCUUUCGCCUGGGACGAAGCGUGAGUGACGGUAAUGGGUAAAGAAGCACCGGCUAACUACGUG